rnacentral:rRNA from 1 species
UACGUAGGAUGCGAGCGUUGUCCGGAAUUACUGGGCGUAAAGAGCUCGUAGGUGGUUUGUCGCGUUGUUCGUGAAAACCGGGGGCUUAACCCUCGGCGUGCGGGCGAUACGGGCAGACUGGAGUACUGCAGGGGAGACUGGAAUUCCUGGUGUAGCGGUGGAAUGCGCAGAUAUCAGGAGGAACACCGGUGGCGAAGGCGGGUCUCUGGGCAGUAACUGACGCUGAGGAGCGAAAGCGUGGGGAGCGAACAGG